rnacentral:rRNA from 1 species
GAUGAACGCUGGCGGCGUGCCUAAUACAUGCAAGCCGAGCGAACGGACGAGAAGCUUGCUUCUCUGAUGUUAGCGGCGGACGGGUGAGUAACACGUGGAUAACCUACCUAUAAGACUGGGAUAACUUCGGGAAACCGGAGCUAAUACCGGAUAAUAUUUUGAACCGCAUGGUUCAAAAGUGAAAGACGGUCUUGCUGUCACUUAUAGAUGGAUCCGCGCUGCAUUAGCUAGUUGGUAAGGUAACGGCUUACCAAGGCAACGAUGCAUAGCCGACCUGAGAGGGUGAUCGGCCACACUGGAACUGAGACACGGUCCAGACUCCUACGGGAGGCAGCAGUAGGGAAUCUUCCGCAAUGGGCGAAAGCCUGACGGAGCAACGCCGCGUGAGUGAUGAAGGUCUUCGGAUCGUAAAACUCUGUUAUUAGGGAAGAACAUAUGUGUAAGUAACUGUGCACAUCUUGACGGUACCUAAUCAGAAAGCCACGGCUAACUACGUGCCAGCAGCCGCGGUAAUACGUAGGUGGCAAGCGUUAUCCGGAAUUAUUGGGCGUAAAGCGCGCGUAGCGGUUUUUUAAGUCUGAUGUGAAAGCCCACGGCUCAAUCGUGGAGGGUCAUUGGAAACUGGAAAACUUGAGUGCAGAAGAGGAAAGUGGAAUUCCAUGUGUAGCGGUGAAAUGCGCAGAGAUAUGGAGGAACACCAGUGGCGAAGGCGACUUUCUGGUCUGUAACUGACGCUGAUGUGCGAAAGCGUGGGGAUCAAACAGGAUUAGAUACCCUGGUAGUCCACGCCGUAAACGAUGAGUGCUAAGUGUUAGGGGGUUUCCGCCCCUUAGUGCUGCAGCUAACGCAUUAAGCACUCCGCCUGGGGAGUACGACCGCAAGGUUGAAACUCAAAGGAAUUGACGGGGACCCGCACAAGCGGUGGAGCAUGUGGUUUAAUUCGAAGCAACGCGAAGAACCUUACCAAAUCUUGACAUCCUUUGACAACUCUAGAGAUAGAGCCUUCUCCUUCGGGGGACAAAGUGACAGGUGGUGCAUGGUUGUCGUCAGCUCGUGUCGUGAGAUGUUGGGUUAAGUCCCGCAACGAGCGCAACCCUUAAGCUUAGUUGCCAUCAUUAAGUUGGGCACUCUAAGUUGACUGCCGGUGACAAACCGGAGGAAGGUGGGGAUGACGUCAAAUCAUCAUGCCCCUUAUGAUUUGGGCUACACACGUGCUACAAUGGACAAUACAAAGGGCAGCGAAGCCGCGAGGUCAAGCAAAUCCCAUAAAGUUGUUCUCAGUUCGGAUUGUAGUCUGCAACUCGACUACAUGAAGCUGGAAUCGCUAGUAAUCGUAGAUCAGCAUGCUACGGUGAAUACGUUCCCGGGUCU